rnacentral:rRNA from 1 species
UACAGAGGUCCCAAGCGUUGUUCGGAUUCACUGGGCGUAAAGGGUGCGUAGGUGGCGAGGUAAGUCGGAUGUGAAAGCUCGGAGCUCAACUCCGAAAUGGCAUUGGAAACUACCUUGCUCGAGGGAUGGAGGGGGGACUGGAAUUCUCGGUGUAGCAGUGAAAUGCGUAGAUAUCCGGAGGAACACCGACGGCGAAGGCAGCGCCCUGGCCGCCAUCUGACGCUCAGGCACGAAAGCUGGGGGAGCGAACAGG